GAAGAGCAGCUGGAACAUUACUCAAAGAGAAAAUCUUGCUGUAACUCAAAGGCUUAAAUCCAGAUACUAUCUCCUUGGAGAGCAACCCAUCCAGGUUUUCAGAUGGUUAGGGACUGAUUUAUGGAUAACUGAGGAAUGAGAUGAAAAUACCUACUGAAAUCUCGGUCAAAAUGUGCCACUGGGAGACACUCCUCCGCCAAGACAACCAGCAUUCCCAAAUCCUUCAAGAGGACUCAAACCCCUAUGGCAGCCUGAGGAGUUCACCUGUAGUGUAUUCUGCCUGGCAGAAGCUGCUG
rnacentral:lncRNA from 12 species